rnacentral:tRNA from 1 species
AUUAAAUUAUCAUAAUCAAUGUUUUAAAUUUAGAAUUUAAAAAAGGAACAAAAAUCCAUUUAAUA